rnacentral:lncRNA from 1 species
GGGUUUCAGGGUUAGAUCUUGAAACUUUUUCAAGAUCAUACAGCGGAAGACUAAAAUAAAUCAAAAUUUAUUUUUUAAAAUCAAAAAAUCUCUAGAUCUAAGAUCUUAUUACAUGAUUAUUACAUAGCAUUAAAUCAGAAAUUAAAAUAUAUAUAAAUAUAGUAUGAACUACAUGUUGAUCAUAUCAACAUGUUUCUAUACUAGCUACAUCUAAUGUAUGUAUUAAACAAUAGAUCAGAUCUAUUACCUUGCAAGUUAGAUAUUCUAACCUUAUUGAUCUGGGCUUGAGGAUAAUGUUGCAAUCCGCACACGCGUCCGGCCUCUAGGAGUCAUCCACACGAGCCCACGAAUCUCGAUCAGAAGUCCUGCUUCAGGAAAUCAGCACAGUAUGCUAGUACUGCGCUGAUCCUUCUUUGAUGGUUGAUCAGGUGCCUCCUUCUUUUUGAUUUGGACUCUUCCAAAGAUGGAAAGUAAAAGGAGGAGUUUUAGAUCUGAGACACUCUCAGAAAACUCAAGAUGGAGGGAGGAAAGAUAUGAAAACAAAAACCCAAGAAGAAGACCCUCUUCUUCUUCACGUUUUUCUCUCUAGACACCCAAACUUGCAUCUUUUAUAUCUCCACGACCCCA